AUCUAGCUGACGAGUCCCAAUUGAAACGAAACGCGCGUCAAACUGGAU
rnacentral:hammerhead_ribozyme from 1 species